CCUUAGUAACGGCGAGUGAAGCGGUAACAGCUCAAAUUUGAAAUCUGGGUCUUUUAGGCUCCGAGUUGUAAUUUGUAGAAGAUGCUUUGGGUGCGGCCCCGGUCUAAGUUCCUUGGAACAGGACGUCAUAGAGGGUGAGAAUCCCGUAUGUGAUCGGUGGCUUGCGCCCGUGUAAAGCUCUUUCGACGAGUCGGGUUGUUUGGGAAUGCAGCUCUAAAUGGGUGGUAAAUUUCAUCUAAAGCUAAAUAUUGGCCAGAGACCGAUAGCGCACAAGUAGAGUGAUCGAAAGAUGAAAAGCACUUUGGAAAGAGAGUUAAACAGUACGUGAAAUUGUUGAAAGGGAAGCGCUUGCAACCAGACUUGCGCGGGGUUGAUCAUCCGGGGUUCUCCCCGGUGCACUCGGCCUCGCUCAGGCCAGCAUCGGUUUUGGUGGUUGGAUAAAGGCCUUGGGAAUGUGACUUCUUUCGGGGAGUGUUAUAGCCCUCGGUGCAAUGCAGCCUACCGGGACCGAGGACCGCGCUUCGGCUAGGAUGCUGGCGUAAUGGUUGUAAGCGACCCGUCUUGAAACACGGACCAAGGAGUCUAACAUCUAUGCGAGUGUUUGGGUGUCAAACCCAUACGCGUAAUGAAAGUGAACGGAGGUGAGAACCCUUAAGGGUGCAUCAUCGACCGAUCCUGAUGUCUUCGGAUGGAUUUGAGUAAGAGCAUAGCUGUUGGGACCCGAAAGAUGGUGAACUAUGCCUGAAUAGGGUGAAGCCAGAGGAAACUCUGGUGGAGGCUCGCAGCGGUUCUGACGUGCAAAUCGAUCGUCAAAUUUGGGCAUAGGGGCGAAAGACUAA
rnacentral:rRNA from 1 species